AGCCGAAAGCUGGUGGUUUGACCUGUGGAUGCAAUUGAGAAAGUUCUUCUCCAUUCCUAAUGAGCUGGAGUGCAUAAUAAGAAUGUUGUUUUAACAUGGUGUAGAGGAACAGUGACAAACCUCUCCAUUCACAGAACUCUUCGAAAUGGAAGGCAAUUGGAAAUAACCUGUGCAAUUCCACGCUCAGGGGAGGGCCAAUGUUGAUCAGGUUGCUCGUGUUCUGUUUCAUUAGGGAUGGAAAUUUCACAUCCUCUGAGACCCUCCAUCCUGUGGUUCUACUGUGGAUUCUUUGUUAUGUCUGACUUGCAUUUUCAUCCAAGAGUGGAGUACUGCUGGGAAUGCUGCGCAGAAUUUAAGGAGAAGCAUAUGAAAACCAGGCAGCAUGUUGUGGCCACUGGUCAGUUGUCCUGAGGACCUACUUCGUGAUGCCUGAGCAUCCAUAUAUUACUUAUAUUUUCCCAUGAAGAAAAGCGAUUCCAAGAGUUCUUCAUUGAAGAAAUAUUCCUACUGAUUGAAAAUAAAAGAACAGAGGAAUUCCA